AUUGAACGCUGGCGGCAGGCCUAACACAUGCAAGUCGAGCGGAAACGAUGGAAGCUUGCUUCCAGGCGUCGAGCGGCGGACGGGUGAGUAAUGCAUGGGAAUCUGCCCGAUAGUGGGGGAUAACCUGGGGAAACCCAGGCUAAUACCGCAUACGUCCUACGGGAGAAAGCAGGGGAUCUUCGGACCUUGCGCUAUCGGAUGAGCCCAUGUCGGAUUAGCUUGUUGGUGAGGUAAUGGCUCACCAAGGCGACGAUCCGUAGCUGGUCUGAGAGGAUGAUCAGCCACAUCGGGACUGAGACACGGCCCGAACUCCUACGGGAGGCAGCAGUGGGGAAUAUUGGACAAUGGGCGAAAGCCUGAUCCAGCCAUGCCGCGUGUGUGAAGAAGGCCCUCGGGUUGUAAAACACUUUCAGUGGGGAAGAAAGCCUUGGGAUUAAUACUCCCGAGGAAGGACAUCACUCACAGAAGAAGCACCGGCUAACUCCGUGCCAGCAGCCGCGGUAAUACGGAGGGUGCGAGCGUUAAUCGGAAUUACUGGGCGUAAAGCGCGCGUAGGCGGUCUGAUAAGCCGGUUGUGAAAGCCCCGGGCUCAACCUGGGAACGGCAUCCGGAACUGUCAGGCUAGAGUGCAGGAGAGGAAGGUAGAAUUCCCGGUGUAGCGGUGAAAUGCGUAGAGAUCGGGAGGAAUACCAGUGGCGAAGGCGGCCUUCUGGACUGACACUGACACUGAGGUGCGAAAGCGUGGGUAGCAAACA
rnacentral:rRNA from 1 species